rnacentral:rRNA from 1 species
CAGUCGCCGCGGGAAUACGUAGGGUGCAAGCGUUAAUCGGAAUUACUGGGCGUAAAGCGUGCGCAGGCGGUUUGUUAAGACAGAUGUGAAAUCCCCGGGCUCAACCUGGGAACUGCAUUUGUGACUGGCAAGCUAGAGUAUGGCAGAGGGGGGUGGAAUUCCGCGUGUAGCAGUGAAAUGCGUAGAUAUGCGGAGGAACACCGAUGGCGAAGGCAAUCCCCUGGACCUGUACUGACGCUCAUGCACGAAAGCGUGGGGAGCAAACAGGAUUAGAUACCCCAGUAGUCCCUGUCUCUUAUAC